rnacentral:lncRNA from 1 species
CUGCUCUUGGUGUAUUUGUUCAGCACCAUGGACAUGUUGACAACACUGAGCAGGUCACUUGGGAGAGAGAACGGAGAGCACAGAGACAGCAGAGAGGAGGAGAAGGACGCUGGCCUUCAGACUCCUGGAAAAUGUGCCAACAUCGUGUGGAAAAGUUUCACUUCAACAAUACCAGGGUGCACAGGAUGAAGCACAGCAACAGAGCAGGCCGCAGAAAAACCACAAUGGCUGGAAGAAGCCAAAGUUCCCAGUCUGGGAAGGGAAGUCGAGGAAGGCUGGUGAUGGACAUGAGAGAAAAGUAUGCUAUUUUUGGUCAAAAAAAAAAACAAUGUGAUUCAAAGUGGAAUUAGAAACAAGGAAUUUCGAAACAGCGAUUAGCCUAUUACUAAGCCAGCACUCCUCAAAGAGAGCAGGAUGAAGGAACAGUGCUGUCUCACUUAAUUUAAAGUUAGAUGUACUCUUUCCCCCAAAACCUUACUAUUGCAGUAAGUGUUCAUUAUGACACUCCAUAAACAUGCCACCGCUUAAACAACACUUCCAUUUUCACACCACCACCAAAAAUGUAGACAUUGUUCUUCUCAGCUUCCAGAGGAGGGAAUGAGACUCAGAGAAAAUAAAGUGGUUUGCCGCUGAAAAACAAAGACGGUAAAACCCAGAGAUAAGAACACUCUGGAUGUGUGUCAUGUUCUGCACCAGGCCCUUCUGUUUGUCUUCGUCUUUAGACACGGCCUUACUUUGCAGUCCAGGG